GACAUGAUCAGUAAAAUGCCAGAUGAUGUUCUUUGCUUUCAGGUCAAGAUAGGUUGCUAUUCUGUACAUAUUCUUAAACACCUUUGUGGAGAGGAGACCUCACGUAUUCCAAAUGAUGAAGAACCCAGUUGUGAUGGCGUAAGCAGACUUGCAAACCAUACAUUCAGCCAUAUGGGCAAGCAUUACCCCUGGAGCUGUAUUGAUCGUUAUGGCUGGAAGAUUCAAGGGCAAUAGGGUUGUCUUUUUGAAGCAUCAUUCUUCUUGCUUGCUUUUGGUCACUGUUAAGUUAUUGUUUUUCUUCACUAUGUGAGAAAUUGUUUUUACUUUUGGUUACCAAGUAGUGCCUUUUGAUGAAUGUUACAUGUAGUUUGCUA